GCUCUGUGGAUUAGUGGCGAACGGGUGAGUAACACGUGAGUAACCUGCCCUUGACUCUGGAAUAAGCGUUGGAAACGACGUCUAAUACCGGAUACGAGCUUCCGCCGCAUGGUGAGGAGUUGGAAAGAAUUUCGGUCAAGGAUGGACUCGCGGCCUAUCAGGUAGUUGGUGAGGUAAUGGCUCACCAAGCCUACGACGGGUAGCCGGCCUGAGAGGGUGACCGGCCACACUGGAACUGAGACACGGUCCAGACUCCUACGGGAGGCAGCAGUGGGGAAUAUUGCACAAUGGGCGCAAGCCUGAUGCAGCAACGCCGCGUGAGGGACGACGGCCUUCGGGUUGUAAACCUCUUUUAGUAGGGAAGAAGUGAUGUGCUUGUCACAUCAUGACGGUACCUGCAGAAAAAGCACCGGCUAACUACGUGCCAGCAGCCGCGGUAAUACGUAGGGUGCAAGCGUUAUCCGGAAUUAUUGGGCGUAAAGAGCUCGUAGGCGGUUUGUCGCGUCUGCUGUGAAAACUGGAGGCUCAACCUCCAGCCUGCAGUGGGUACGGGCAGACUAGAGUGCGGUAGGGGAGAUUGGAAUUCCUGGUGUAGCGGU
rnacentral:rRNA from 1 species